rnacentral:rRNA from 1 species
UACGUAGGGGGCAAGCGUUGUCCGGAUUUAUUGGGCGUAAAGAGCGUGUAGGCGGUUUGGUAGGUCCGUUGUGAAAACUCGAGGCUCAACCUCGAGACGCCGAUGGAAACCAUCAGACUAGAGUCCGGAAGAGGAGAGUGGAAUUCCUGGUGUAGCGGUGAAAUGCGCAGAUAUCAGGAGGAACACCGGUGGCGAAGGCGGUUCUCUGGGCAUGACCUGACGCUGAGGAGCGAAAGUGUGGGGAGCGAACAGG